rnacentral:rRNA from 1 species
AAUAACUUCAGCAUGCAGAUUCAAUUUUCUGCCACCGAAUACAUUAGCAUGGGAUAAUGGAAUAGGACCCUGUCCUCCUAUUUUCAGUUGGUUUUGGCAGCGCGAGGACUAGGGUAAUGAUUAAUAGGGAUAGUUGGGGGCAUUAAUAUUUAAUUGUCAGAGGUGAAAUUCUUGGAUUUAUGAAAGAUUAACUUCUGCGAAAGCAUCUGCCAAGGAUGUUUUCAUUAAUCAAGAACGAAAGUUAGGGGAUCGAAGACGAUCAGAUACCGUCGUAGUCUUAACCAUAAACGAUGCCGACCAGCGAUUAGGAGACGUUGAAUACAAAACACCACCAUCGGCGCGGUCGCCCUUGGCGUUCGUGUUCACGCACGGGCGCGAGGGCGGCUUAGCCCGAUGGCACCGGUGAAUGACUCCCCUAGACCUUUUGUUGAGAA